rnacentral:rRNA from 1 species
AAAACGACUCUCGGCAACGGAUAUCUCGGCUCUCGCAUCGAUGAAGAACGUAGCGAAAUGCGAUACUUGGUGUGAAUUGCAGAAUCCCGUGAACCAUCGAGUCUUUGAACGCAAGUUGCGCCCAAAGCCUUUUGGUUGAGGGCACGUCUGCCUGG